UACAGAGGGGGCCAGCGUUAUUCGGAAUUAUUGGGUGUAAAGGGCUCGUAGGCGGUUUGUCACGUCGGGAGUGAAAACUCGGGGCUUAACCCCGAGCCUGCUUCCGAUACGGGCAGACUAGAGGUAUGCAGGGGAGAACGGAAUUCCUGGUGUAGCGGUGAAAUGCGCAGAUAUCAGGAGGAACACCGGUGGCGAAGGCGGUUCUCUGGGCAUUACCUGACGCUGAGGAGCGAAAGUGUGGGGAGCGAACAGG
rnacentral:rRNA from 1 species